rnacentral:rRNA from 1 species
UACAGAGGUUCCAAGCGUUGUUCGGAUUCAUUGGGCGUAAAGGGUGCGUAGGCGGCGCGGUAAGUCGGGGGUGAAAUCUCGGGGCUUAACUCCGAAACUGCAUUCGAUACUGCCGUGCUUGAGGACUGGAGAGGAGACUGGAAUUUACGGUGUAGCGGUGAAAUGCGUAGAUAUCGUAAGGAAGACCAGUGGCGAAGGCGGGUCUCUGGACAGUUCCUGACGCUGAGGCACGAAGGCCAGGGGAGCAAACGGG